UACCAGCACCCCGAGUGGUCGGGACGAUUAUUGGGCCUAAAGCAUCCGUAGCCGGUCCUACAAGUCUUCCGUUAAAUCCACCUGCUUAACAGAUGGGCUGCGGAAGAUACUAUAGGGCUAGGAGGCGGGAGAGGCAAGCGGUACUCAGUGGGUAGGGGUAAAAUCCUCUGAUCCAUUGAAGACCACCAGUGGCGAAGGCGGCUUGCCAGAACGCGCUCGA
rnacentral:rRNA from 1 species